GAUGAACGCUGGCGGCGUGCCUAAUACAUGCAAGUCGAGCGAACAGAUAAGGAGCUUGCUCCUUUGACGUUAGCGGCGGACGGGUGAGUAACACGUGGGUAACCUACCUAUAAGACUGGAAUAACUCCGGGAAACCGGGGCUAAUGCCGGAUAACAUUUAGAACCGCAUGGUUCUAAAGUGAAAGAUGGUUUUGCUAUCACUUAUAGAUGGACCCGCGCCGUAUUAGCUAGUUGGUAAGGUAACGGCUUACCAAGGCAACGAUACGUAGCCGACCUGAGAGGGUGAUCGGCCACACUGGAACUGAGACACGGUCCAGACUCCUACGGGAGGCAGCAGUAGGGAAUCUUCCGCAAUGGGCGAAAGCCUGACGGAGCAACGCCGCGUGAGUGAUGAAGGUCUUCGGAUCGUAAAACUCUGUUAUUAGGGAAGAACAAAUGUGUAAGUAACCGUGCACGUCUUGACGGUACCUAAUCAGAAAGCCACGGCUAACUACGUG
rnacentral:rRNA from 1 species